GUAGAGAUCGAGCAGAAGUACUUUCAUUGAUCCUGGAAUAUGUUUAAAUGUUGGGCUUCCUUGAAAUAGCAUGGUAUCUUAAUGGCAGGCAUCAUAACAGGUUGAUGGACAUGGGCAAGGACCCCCCCUCUUCGGUGUAAUGGCCUUUUGUGUGCAAAUCCAUUGAUAGGACAGUAACUUAAUGGCAGAUACCAGAACAGAUUGAUGGACUUGU